rnacentral:rRNA from 1 species
UACGUAGGGUGCAAGCGUUGUCCGGAAUUAUUGGGCGUAAAGAGCUCGUAGGCGGUUUGUCGCGUCUGGUGUGAAAAUCCAGGGCUUAACCCUGGACCUGCAUCGGGUACGGGCAGACUAGAGUGCGGUAGGGGAGAGCGGAAUUCCUGGUGUAGCGGUGAAAUGCGCAGAUAUCAGGAGGAACACCGGUGGCGAAGGCGGAUCUCUGGGCCGUAACUGACGCUGAGGAGCGAAAGCAUGGGGAGCGAACAGG